CGAACGCUGGCGGCAGGCCUAAUACAUGCAAGUCGAACGGCUCUUCGGAGCAGUGGCGAACGGGUGAGUAACGCGUGGGAAUGUGCCCUUUGGUACGGAACAACACAGGGAAACUUGUGCUAAUACCGUAUGUGCCCUUCGGGGGAAAGAUUUAUCGCCAUUGGAGCAGCCCGCGUUGGAUUAGGUAGUUGGUGAGGUAAAGGCUCACCAAGCCGACGAUCCAUAGCUGGUCUGAGAGGAUGAUCAGCCACACUGGGACUGAGACACGGCCCAGACUCCUACGGGAGGCAGCAGUAGGGAAUCUUGCGCAAUGGGCGAAAGCCUGACGCAGCCAUGCCGCGUGUAUGAUGAAGGUCUUAGGAUUGUAAAAUACUUUCACCGGGGAAGAUAAUGACGGUACCCGGAGAAGAAGCCCCGGCUAACUUCGUGCCAGCCGCCGCCGUAAUAC
rnacentral:rRNA from 1 species